UCCGUGUUAACCACGGCAGUCUCUUUAGAGUGCCCAACUGAAUGCUGGCAACUAAAGACAAGGGUUGCGCUCGUUGCGGGACUUAACCCAACAUGUCACCACACGAGCUGACGACAGCCAUGCAGCACCUGUCAUCCGGGAGUAUUGCUACUCACCCCGUAUUUCUACGGGUAGCCGGAGAUGUCAAACCCAGGUAAGGUUUUUCGCGUUGCUUCGAAUUAAACCACAUGAUCCACCGCUUGUGCGGGCCCCCGUCAAUUCCUUUGAGUUUUAGUCUUGCGACCGUACUUCCCAGGCGGGGUACUUAUCGCGUUAGCUUCGGCACGGCGGGGGUCAAGACCCACCAUGCCUAGUACCCAUCGUUUACAGCGUGGACUAC
rnacentral:misc_RNA from 1 species